rnacentral:rRNA from 1 species
UACGUAGGGGGCAAGCGUUGUCCGGAAUGAUUGGGCGUAAAGGGCGCGUAGGCGGCCUGUUAAGUCUGGAGUGAAAGUCCUGCUUUCAAGGUGGGAAUUGCUUUGGAUACUGGCGGGCUGGAGUGCAGGAGAGGUUAGUGGAAUUCCCGGUGUAGCGGUGAAAUGCGUAGAGAUCGGGAGGAACACCAGUGGCGAAGGCGACUAACUGGACUGUAACUGACGCUGAGGCGCGAAAGUGUGGGGAGCAAACAGG